AAAAUGCGAAACGUAUUGUGACAUGCAAUCUUUGUGAAUCAACGAAUUUUUGAACGCACCUUGCACUGAGUGGCCUGUGCCAGUCAGUAUACUUGAUUGAGCAUCGACCCCCCUCUGUUUGAUCGGGCUGAGCGAAGCGAAGCCACAAGAAAAGACAGGAGUUGGAUGUUUGCCCCCCUUUACUAUUUACUGGUGAGAGAGGGGAAAUCGUCUGAAAUGGAGAGCGCGCACAUGGCGGCAGAACCACAUGGGAUAAUAGACAUCAUGUCGUGUGGGACUGGGGCGUGCGAGCAACAGCAGAGCGAUACUGGCGUGCGUCCACGGACAACGCGUCAGGGCGCUCGAGUCACCGAUCUCAAAUCAAGUAGGAAUACCCGCUGAACUUAA
rnacentral:misc_RNA from 1 species